GCAUUCGUGGUUCAGUGGUAGAAUU
rnacentral:ncRNA from 3 species